ACGAACGCUGGCGGCGUGCUUAACACAUGCAAGUCGAACGGAAAGGCCCUGCUUUUGUGGGGUGCUCGAGUGGCGAACGGGUGAGUAACACGUGAGUAACCUGCCCUUGACUUUGGGAUAACUUCAGGAAACUGGGGCUAAUACCGGAUAGGAGCUCCUGCUGCAUGGUGGGGGUUGGAAAGUUUCGGCGGUUGGGGAUGGACUCGCGGCUUAUCAGCUUGUUGGUGGGGUAGUGGCUUACCAAGGCUUUGACGGGUAGCCGGCCUGAGAGGGUGACCGGCCACAUUGGGACUGAGAUACGGCCCAGACUCCUACGGCAGGCAGCAGUGGGGAAUAUUGCACAAUGGGCGGAAGCCUGAUGCAGCAACGCCGCGUGCGGGAUGACGGCCUUCGGGUUGUAAACCGCUUUCGCCUGUGACGAAGCGUGAGUGACGGUAAUGGGUAAAGAAGCACCGGCUAACUACGUGCCAGCAGCCGCGGUGAUACGUAGGGUGCGAGCGUUGUCCGGAUUUAUUGGGCGUAAAGGGCUCGUAGGUGGUUGAUCGCGUCGGAAGUGUAAUCUUGGGGCUUAACCCUGAGCGUGCUUUCGAUACGGGUUGACUUGAGGAAGGUAGGGGAGAAUGGAAUUCCUGGUGGAGCGGUGGAAUGCGCAGAUAUCAGGAGGAACACCAGUGGCGAAGGCGGUUCUCUGGGCCUUUCCUGACGCUGAGGAGCGAAAGCGUGGGGAGCGAACAGGCUUAGAUACCCUGGUAGUCCACGCUGUAAACGGUGGGUACUAGGUGUGGGGUCCAUUCCACGGGUUCCGUGCCGUAGCUAACGCUUUAAGUACCCCGCCUGGGGAGUACGGCCGCAAGGCUAAAACUCAAAGGAAUUGACGGGGCCCCGCACAAGCGGCGGAGCAUGCGGAUUAAUUCGAUGCAACGCGUAGAACCUUACCUGGGUUUGACAUGGAUCGGGAGUGCUCAGAGAUGGGUGUGCCUCUUUUGGGGUCGGUUCACAGGUGGUGCAUGGCUGUCGUCAGCUCGUGUCGUGAGAUGUUGGGUUAAGUCCCGCAACGAGCGCAACCCUUGUUCACUGUUGCCAGCACGUUAUGGUGGGGACUCAGUGGAGACCGCCGGGGUCAACUCGGAGGAAGGUGGGGAUGACGUCAAGUCAUCAUGCCCCUUAUGUCCAGGGCUUCACGCAUGCUACAAUGGCUGGUACAGAGAGUGGCGAGCCUGUGAGGGUGAGCGAAUCUCGGAAAGCCGGUCUCAGUUCGGAUUGGGGUCUGCAACUCGACCUCAUGAAGUCGGAGUCGCUAGUAAUCGCAGAUCGGCAACGCUGCGGUGAAUACGUUCCCGGGGCUUGUACACACCGCCCGUCAAGUCAUGAAAGUUGGUAACACCCGAAGCCGGUGGCCUAACCGUUGUGGGGGAGCCGUCGAAGGUGGGACUGGUGAUUAGG
rnacentral:rRNA from 1 species